rnacentral:lncRNA from 1 species
CAGGGUCUCACUCCAUAAUGGUGUGAAAGCCACCUCAAGGCAGGGUAGGGUGCUGCAACCUUAGCUCUGCUGCCAUAAACCCAGGAGCAGAGGACCACAGAGGAGGAAGUCCUGCCUAGAGGAACAGAAUGGACUGGUGGCGGCGAGCUUUGAGAUCACACCUCAAACCCAGGAACCUGUUAUGACUGGGUUAUCUCCUUCCUCUCAGCGGGAGCUGGAACAACUCUGAGUCGGCAUCCUGACUUUUGGCCCCUUUACAUGAAACCAUAUGUGGAGGAACUAGGUAAGAAUGGCUAUCAGACUCUGACCUGGAGUCUCUGUAGCCUCAUGCACUAUGAGACUGGGCUGGGGAGUCAUCAUGAGAACAUGAACCAUCAUCCAGUUGGCAAGGCACUGGGAAGGAACACAAAGGUCUGUGGAGACCCCUAGCCUGGCACCUGAGGAUGCUAGUAUUAAAGACUGAGUCUUACCAGUGUCCCAUGUUUUCAGUUCCCCCAUCCUUAUUCAUGAAAGAGAAGAGAGUCUCAGCCAAUUGUAGCAAAGUCCUGGGAGCACAGAGGUGUGCGAGAGACAUGUUCACAGUGGUGGGGGAGUCUGAGGGUGUCCAGGCUUUCCCUUGGAAUGUGACAAAAAGGAGGGUUUAAGGGUGGUUGGGAAGGCUGAGAGUCCUGGAAGGUCAGAGGUGGUAAUGGGCUCACUAAGGUGGGAGCUACCUUCCAGAAGGAAGAUGAGGGCCAGUGAGACACAUGAGGACAGGGACAGAUGCUGCGACAGAGCCUAUCACGGGGCUAGAAGUGGGCAUGGGGGAAGAAGAGCUCUGAACAAGAAGGCAUGAUCUGUGUCUUUAUUAUAGUGUUAAUUUACUUUUAUUUGUAUGAGUGUUUUGCCUGAAUGUAUGUCUGUGCACCACAUGCAUGCAAUGCCCACAGAGGCCAGAAGAUGGCGACGGAUCCCCUUGAGCUGGAGUUACAGAUGGAUGUGAGCUACCAUGUGGGUGCCUGGAACUGAACCUGGGUACUCUGCAAGAGCAGCCAGUGGUCUUAACCACUAAGCCAUCUCUCCAUUCUCCUAUUUAAUUAUUUAAAGAUUUCUUACAGGUAUAUACAAUAUAUUGGACAUAUUCUGUUCCCCCCAUUCUUCCUUCACUACCUCCUCCUGUAUUAGUACCCUCUGUUUCCCUAGACAAUUUCAUAUCUGCUUUCAUUUACUAUGUACAUACAUGAUUCGAUAUGUGGUUAAAUGACAUGCAGGAACCACCUAUGAGUUGUUUCUCAGUUGCAUAAAUUU